rnacentral:rRNA from 1 species
UACGUAGGGACCGAGCGUUGUCCGGAAUCAUUGGGCGUAAAGAGCGUGUAGGCGGCCACUUAAGUCCUGCGUGAAAUCUUGCGGCUCAACCGCAAGCGGUCGUGGGAAACUGGGUGGCUAGAGUGCGGGAGAGGAGAGUGGAAUUCCUGGUGUAGCGGUGGAAUGCGCAGAUAGUCAGGAAGAACACCCGUGGCGAAGGCGGCUCUCUGGAGCGCAACUGACGCUGAGACGCGAAAGCGUGGGGAGCAAACAGG